GUUGCAGAAAAAUGGUUAAAAUAAGCAAAAAUUGGUUCAAAUUAUUAAAAAAAAAGAAAAUCAGUCAAAAUGUUUCAAAAAUAUUGGCAAUUAAAAAUGAAAAUAGGGAAAAUAUCCAACAUUUAUUUAACAUAGUUGGGAAUGAGAAACAAAAACACUAUUUCACAAUAAGACGUCAUCAAGAAUCAUGUUUUCAAGCAAUUGUUUGAUCAUUGCCUUGAAAAUUAAAUAAAUAAAUGUAUUUUGUGGGAAAAAGACAUAUUUUCAACCAAGCUGACGAUCGUCGUGGAAACUGUAACCUGUGUGUGUGUGUGUGUGUGUCCUCAGGUGAUGGAGAUAGACUUCAGUGGUUCUUUGUCCUCAGAGGGCAGGACUGGUUAGUGGGAGUGUAUAAAAAAUAAAAAGCCCUAUAAAAGCCAUGCAGGGCUUUAAUCUCCCAGUCCUCCCAGUGCAGCUGUUUAUCCACUCCAUCAUCAUGCUUGUUCGAGCUGUGCUGCAGACGUCCCUCCUCCUCUGGUUGGCUCAGCAGACUCUGCAAGGCGCUGUUGCAGGAGUCCAACCUCAGAGUGUGUCAUGGGGACAAGGACUGCCAGCUAGAGGUCUGGGUGUUGGAGUGAAACCUGGAGACGUCAGCGCUCUCGGAGCCGUGGCAAAUCGAUUUGAAAGCAAAGCAAUGAAAGCUGGACUGGGACGUUACGGCGGCGCUCAGCUUGGACUUGGAGGAUACAGGACUCUUGGAUUAGGAGGGAGAGCUGGUAUGAGACAUGGCGGCUACGGGGUUCAAGGAGUCUACGGUGCUGGUCUUGGUACAGGAAUGGGUCUAGGGACUGGACUCACGAACGGGCUUGGUUUGGGUUUGGGUCAGGGUGGAAAACGAGUCUAUGGGACUGGCCUGGGAACUGUACCUGGAUAUGGAGCUUUGGGAGCGAUUGGCUAUCCCGGGCUUCGUCCUGGUUAUGGUGGCGGAGUAGGAAACUACCUGGGAACUGGCCUGGGUGCUGGAGGCUAUGGAGCAGCUUUGGGACAAGGCGGCUAUCUGGGAGGAGCUGCUGGAAAACUGGCAGCAGGAUACGGAGAUGGAAUGACUGGAUAUCUCGGACCCAUGGCAGGUUACGGGAAUGGUUACGGGGAUGCUUAUGGAGCUGGGCUCGGUUACCCUGCAGAUUUAGCCGUUGGUCUGGAGAACAAAGCAGGGAAAAGUGAAGGCCUCGGUACAGGAGGAUUAGUUGGUCCCCUGCAGGGAGCGUAUGGAGGAGCUGCUCAGGUGCCUUUUGCCAACACUCCAGUCCUUCCUGUGGGACUAGAAGGUGAUGGUGGUUAUCCGUACAACACUCAGCAGCUCAGUUUGACCGCUGAAGCUGCCAAAUCUGCCAGUAAAUAUGAAGCUGGUCCAGGAUUCAGAGCUCAACAAGCUGCAGGUUUGUUGGGACCGAAUCAAGACGUCUUGGGGGAGCAGACCGGAAAAUAUGGCGGUGUGAACGCAGCCCUUGGUAACGGUUACAAAGCCUAAUACAAACAACCUGGAGGUCCUCAGCUGGAUGGUCGAGCUCUGUACUACGUUGAGUGUAAUUCGUUUGUAAGGCUUUCCCUCUGUAUGUUUUUUUUUCUAUUUUGUUUUACAGUAUUGUUUGUUCCUCACUUUGUUUACUUCUGUCUCGUUUGUCUGAAACCUCGUGUAACCUCCUCCCAUAUCAUUUCUACAUGUCUUGUCGAGUUAUAAACACAUGUUACAUGCAGAAGUAGACAGAUUUUGUGUCAAUAUUCAAAAAAUUGGUUGUACUGUUGUGAUGACUCAGCAGUUUUAAAGACAAUAAAUGUCAUUGCCAAAUGUUGUAC
ensembl:lncRNA fibroin heavy chain-like